rnacentral:rRNA from 1 species
AUGCUUAAAAUUGAUGUUGCUAAAGCUUUUGAUCGUUUAGAAUGGAAUUUCUUUGUUUCUGCGCGUGCACGUAAAGGGUUGCAUGGUCAUUUCAUCAAUUUAGUUCAUGCAUGCAUCUCUUCUCCCACGUUUUCGGUGCUUAUUAAUGGGCAACCUUCUCAAAGUUUUAAAGGUUCUCGAGGUAUUAGGCAAGGCUGUUCCAUGUCUCCUUAUUUGUUUGUCAUUGCGGUUAAUGAACUUUCUAUUAUGCUUAAUGAAGCUCUGCAGGCCAAUCAUCUCCAGGGUAUUUCUCUUGGUCCAAAUUGCCCCUCUGUGCAUUCUCUUCUUUUUGCGGACGAUUUGUUGGUUUAUGGUCAGGCUACCAUUCAAGAAGCUCAAACUAUGGCUAACAUCAUUCAACACUUCUGU